rnacentral:rRNA from 1 species
ACGCUCGACACCUACGGGAGCAGCAGGUGGGGAAUAUUGCACAAUGGGGGAAACCCUGAUGCAGCGACGCCGCGUGAGCGAAGAAGUAUUUCGGUAUGUAAAGCUCUAUCAGCAGGGAAGAAAGUGACGGUACCUGACUAAGAAGCACCGGCUAAAUACGUGCCAGCAGCCGCGGUAAUCUGGAGCGGGGCUGGGCAAGGC